rnacentral:rRNA from 1 species
UCCUAAGGUAGCGAAAUUCCUUGUCGGGUAAGUUCCGACCUGCACGAAUGGCGUAAUGAUGGCCAGGCUGUCUCCACCCGAGACUCAGUGAAAUUGAACUCGCUGUGAAGAUGCAGUGUACCCGCGGCAAGACGGAAAGACCCCGUGAACCUUUACUAUAGCUUGACACUGAACAUUGAGCCUUGAUGUGUAGGAUAGGUGGGAGGCUUUGAAGUGUGGACGCCAGUCUGCAUGGAGCCGACCUUGAAAUACCACCCUUUAAUGUUUGAUGUUCUAACGUGGACCCGUGAUCCGGGUUGCGGACAGUGUCUGGUGGGUAGUUUGACUGGGGCGGUCUCCUCCUAAAGAGUAACGGAGGAGCACGAAGGUUGGCUAAUCCUGGUCGGACAUCAGGAGGUUAGUGCAAUGGCAUAAGCCAGCUUGACUGCGAGCGUGACGGCGCGAGCAGGUGCGAAAGCAGGUCAUAGUGAUCCGGUGGUUCUGAAUGGAAGGGCCAUCGCUCAACGGAUAAAAGGUACUCCGGGGAUAACAGGCUGAUACCGCCCAAGAGUUCAUAUCGACGGCGGUGUUUGGCACCUCGAUGUCGGCUCAUCACAUCCUGGGGCUGAAGUAGGUCCCAAGGGUAUGGCUGUUCGCCAUUUAAAGUGGUACGCGAGCUGGGUUUAGAACGUCGUGAGACAGUUCGGUCCCUAUCUGCCGUGGGCGCUGGAGAACUGAGGGGGGCUGCUCCUAGUACGAGAGGACCGGAGUGGACGCAUCACUGGUGUUCGGGUUGUCAUGCCAAUGGCACUGCCCGGUAGCUAAAUGCGGAAGAGAUAAGUGCUGAAAGCAUCUAAGCACGAAACUUGCCCCGA